rnacentral:rRNA from 1 species
AGAGUUCGAUUCUGGCUCAGGAUGAACGCUGGCGGCGUGCCUAAUACAUGCAAGUCGAACGCAUCACUUUGGUGAUGAGUGGCGAACGGGUGAGUAAUACAUAAGUAACCUGGCCCAUACAGGGGGAUAACUGCUGGAAACGGCAGCUAAGACCGCAUAUGUGUAGAGAUCGCAUGAACUCUAUAUGAAAAGUGCUACGGCACUGGUAAGGGAUGGACUUAUGGCGCAUUAGCUAGUUGGCAGGGUAAAGGCCUACCAAGGCGACGAUGCGUAGCCGACCUGAGAGGGUGACCGGCCACACUGGGACUGAGACACGGCCCAG